GACGAACGCUGGCGGCGUGCCUAAUACAUGCAAGUCGAGCGGACGGAUGGGAGCUUGCUCCCAGACCGUCAGCGGCGGACGGGUGAGUAACACGUGGGCAACCUGCCUGUAAGACUGGGAUAACUCCGGGAAACCGGGGCUAAUACCGGAUAACUCUUUCCCUCACAUGAGGGAAAGCUGAAAGAUGGCAUCUCGCUAUCACUUACAGAUGGGCCCGCGGCGCAUUAGCUAGUUGGUGAGGUAACGGCUCACCAAGGCGACGAUGCGUAGCCGACCUGAGAGGGUGAUCAGCCACACUGGGACUGAGACACGGCCCAGACUCCUACGGGAGGCAGCAGUAGGGAAUCUUCCGCAAUGGACGAAAGUCUGACGGAGCAACGCCGCGUGAGUGAUGAAGGUUUUCGGAUCGUAAAACUCUGUUGUCAGGGAAGAACAAGUACCGGAGUAACUGCCGGUACCUUGACGGUACCUGACCAGAAAGCCACGGCUAACUACGUG
rnacentral:rRNA from 1 species